CUAUCAAAAAAGAAUUUGGAUACAACGCAAGCUGUUUGCCGUCUAUGCCGCAAGAUUUACAGAAAUACAGGAAAUACUACGAAUUUCAGAGCCCAUAUUGACGGGGAACACAAAUUACCGUCGGGAAAUUCCACACAAUCACGAUCAGACAAAGUUGAAACAAAAUUAGUUCAACCAACAAUAUCGGCUGCAUUUGUCAAAAGAUGUGAUGUUGUAUCAGGAUUUUACAGAACAUUAUCUACUAUCCACUAGUAUCUAGCUACCCCAGUAGCCAAAUUGCAAAGACA